rnacentral:rRNA from 1 species
UACGGAGGAGGCAAGCGUUAUCCGGAAUUAUUGGGCGUAAAGCGUCCGCAGGUGGCAGUUCAAGUCUGCUGUCAAAGACCGGGGCUUGACUUCGGAAAGGCAGUGGAAACUGAACAGCUAGAGUAUGGUAGGGGCAGAGGGAAUUCCUGGUGUAGCGGUGAAAUGCGUAGAGAUCAGGAAGAACAUCGGUGGCGAAGGCGCUCUGCUGGACCAUAACUGACACUCAGGGACGAAAGCUAGGGGAGCGAAUGGG